UUAACUUAAGUUUGUAUGGAGUUGGAAACUUUGCCUACGUUUGCCGCUAGGGGCGUUGUUCCAACUGCAUACAAAUUUGAGUUA
rnacentral:pre_miRNA from 1 species